rnacentral:rRNA from 14 species
GGGUGCAGCGUCCUUGAAAGGAUAUCACAGGCGUCCAAUAUCUAACUCAAUUUGAACAGACAGUGAUCAGCUGUAGAGAACAAAAGCACAAU